rnacentral:RNase_P_RNA from 1 species
AAUUUCUAGUAAUCGCGCAUAAGUUAACUUAUGUGAGGAAAGUCCAUGCUCGCACAAGCUGCGAUGCUUGUAGUGUUUGUGCUCGGCGAAAAAAUAAACCGGGGCACCAUUUAUGGUGACGGCGGAAAAAACGGCUAAGGCUUUGGCUAUGCCCAAGUAUUCCUGAAAGUGCCACAGUGACGAUGCUGAUUUGGAAACGAAUCAGGUGGAACGCGGUAAACCCCUCAAGCGGGAAACCCAAACAUAUGGUAGGGGAGCUCGGCCUAGUGAAUUGAAACGAUGGUCGUGUUAGUAAUAAUAAUUACUAGAAGAUAGAUGAUUACUACUUGCUUAAUUAUGCAUGAAGUUAAGUGAGAACAUAACGUGGCUUACAGAA